ACGGCCAUAUCAUGUUGAAACAUCGGUUCACGUACGAUCACCGAAGUUAAACAAUAUCGUGUCUGGUAAGCACCUAGAAGGGUGACCGCUUGGGAAUACCAGGUGUUGUAAG